UAUCAGAGAGAACCACCCUUCUCGCAAAAUCUCAGUUUUAAAUGUGAAAUCGAAAUCCUCAGGCGACCAUUUAACUUUUUUCCUCUUGGGCAAAGGUUCAAAGGAGCAGUCCGUACACAUUUUCUUGCAGCAAACACUUCUGAGGAAGAGAGGCCACAUGACAUCCAAGGUUUAAUUUGGCUCGUUCGAUGAUGUUCAAACUUUAGAUCUGCCGACUUUAGGUGCUCCAUUGACAGUUGCUAAGGAAACAGGAAUAUGACUCGGGAUGGGCACAAAUAUGCACCCUUCUUCAUCUUUGCUCAAUAACCAUAAGGAUGAUCUUUGCCCUUCGUUUUACUUAGCACUAAACUAAAUAAUUUAUUAAUGUUUUGGACAUAGUAAGAUUGCUUUAAAUAUUUUGAUAUCUUUUUUGUAUUCCAAAAUAUAUAUACUCUAAAGUGCUAACAAUGACUACUUGUAUAAUGAUCACAACGAUACGGAAGAUGUCAUUCUAGAGCUUAAUUAAACUUUUCAUCCUAAUGGUUACCUCCAUCAUGCAUAAUUAGAUUCAUGAAUAAUUAAGACUUCAAAGUUCAGUUUUUGAUGUCAUUGUAAAUAUCAAGUGUCAGAUUAAAAUCUUCAUGUCAUUGUACAUAUAAAGAUCUAGGACUGUCAUUUAUUUAUUUGGAGACUAUGAAUUGCCGAAUUCAACAAAUUUAAUAUUUUUACUUAUUAUUUACUCUUUUGAAGCUAUUUUUUUGACAAUAAAUUUGACCCCACAACUUUUGAAGAUAAAUUUAGUCGUACUUAUGCCUUCAAAAUUCGAAGUGUAUUAAUAUGAACAAUUUUUUCCAUUUUUGAAUAGGCUGUAAUUUAAUCUGUCUUUACACAAUUUUUUCAUUAAUUGAUAAAUUGGAGCAUGAAGGAACGGGAAAUGCCGAAUUGACAGUCAUUUUGUAGAAGUUUGUGCAAUGUUAUUGUACAUUCUUUGUCAUUUAAAAUGGAUCAUAAGUUUCAUAUUUUAUUCUUUUGUUAUUAAUUCAUUUCCAGGCGGUGAACUUGAUGUAGUUUUUUAUACCCGGCCUUUUACAGUUGGAGAAAAUUUACAUUUUAACAUCUCAAAUAGUCUUCUAAGCAAGCUCUUCAAAAGAACAAAGAAGGCUGCUAUCAGAGGUUUUUGGGCAGAAAGCAAAUUUGCUACAUACUGUAUUGUGAUGUCCUUUUCUUUAAAGAAUAUUAGCAUGAAUGCCUUGUCUCUCAACUAUGUUAGUAAUUCAUUAUUGUGAAUCUUUGCAGGUGCUCAAUUGACAGUUGCUAAGGAAACAGGAAGACGACUCAGGAUGGACACAAAUAUGUACCCUUCUUCAUCUUUGCUCAAAAACCAUAAGGAUGAUCUUUGCCCUUCGUCUUACUUAGCACUAAACUAAAUAAUCUAUUAAUGUUUUGGACAUAGUAAGGUUGCUUUAAAUAUUUUGAUAUCUUUUUUGUAUUCCAAAAUAUAUACACUCUAAAGUGCUAACAAUAACUACUUGUACAAUGACCGCAACGAUACGGAAGAUGUCAUUCUUGAGCUUUGUUAAACUUUUCAUCCUAAUGUUUACCUCCAUGCAUAAUUAGAUUCAUGGAUAAUUAAGACUUCAAAGUUCAGUUUUUAAUGUCAUUGUAAAUAUCAAGCAUCAAAUUAAAAUCUUCAUGUCAUUGUACGUAUAAAGAUCUAGGACUGUCACUUAUUUAUUUGGAGGCCAUGAAUUGCCGAAUUCAACAAAUUUAAUAUUUUUACUUAUUAUUUACUCUUUUGAAGCUAUUUUUUUGGCAUAAAUUUGACCCCACAAGUUUUGAAGAUAAAUUCAGCCGUACUUAGGCAUUCAAAAUUUGAAGUGAGGAUUAUUAAAAUGAACAAUUUUUUUCCUUUUUUGAAUAGGCUGUAAUUUAAUCUAUCUUUACGCAAUUUUUUCAUUAAUUGAUAAAUUGGAGCAUGAACGAACGGGGAAUGCCAAUUUGACAGUCAUUUUGUAGAAGUUUGUGCAAUGUUGUUGUACAUUCUUUGUCAUUUAUAAUGGAUCAUAAGUUUCAUAUUUUAUUCUUUUGUAAUUCAUUUCUAGGUGGUGAACAUGAUGUAGUUUUUUAUACCGUCUUUUAAAGUGGGGAAAAUUUACAUUUUAACAUCUCAAACUGGUCUUCUAAGCAAGCUCUUCAAAAGAACAGAGAAGCCAGCUGUCAGAGGUUUCAUUUUAUAGUUCUAUUUAGUAGUAAAUAACUGUGAAAAAUGGCAUGGGGUAAGAUAAGGGCAAAGGUUCAAAGGAGCAGUCUGUACGCAUUUUCUUGCAGCAGACCACAUGAUAAGGGCAAAGGUUCAAAGGAGCACUUCUGAGGAAGAGAGGCCACAUGACAUCCAAGGUGCACAAUGACCCUUUAAAAGCUCCAGUUGAUGGUCCAACUCAGUGGGUAAGUUCCACUUGACUGAGAAACUUAUUUCAGUUCUUUGCAUAAUAAGCAGCUUUCUGUAGGACAUUAUGGAAGUGGUGGUCUUUGUUUUGGCUUUUACUGUUUAUUUGUUUUAUGUAUCCUCUUCCACAUGUGGAGGAACUGCUGGAAGAGCUCAUAGAAAUUGCUAGGGUCAGCAAGGGGAAGCAACACUUUCAAAUUGAUCUCACUCCAUUCAGUUUAUGAGUAUUCUGCAGCUUCUCAUAGGUAAGAUUCUAAAACUUGAGAAUUUUAUUGGAGGCUGGACAAUUGGACAACUGUGGGGGCAGAUCACGGUUGCUGGAAUGAAAGAAUAAUGAAGGAGUUUGUAGAAUCAAUGAAAGGGAUGAUAUAACGUUUGUGGACCCUUUGAAUACGUUUACUGGAAUUGAAAGUUACAAAUUGAUAUUCUGGGCAUUGAGAUUUCAUGGUAGAAUUUUAUUUAGAGAGAUUUCAUUAGACGUGCUUAGAAUUUGG